ACUCCGUGCCAGCAGCCGCGGUAAUACGGAGGGUGCAAGCGUUAAUCGGAAUUACUGGGCGUAAAGCGCACGCAGGCGGUCUGUUAAGCUAGAUGUGAAAGCCCCGCGCUCAACGUGGGAUGGUCAUUUAGAACUGGCAGACUAGAGUUUUGGAGAGGAGAGUGGAAUUCCAGGUGUAGCGGUGAAAUGCGUAGAUAUCUGGAGGAACAUCAGUGGCGAAGGCGACUCUCUGGUCAAUAACUGACGCUCAUGUGCGAAAGUGUGGGUAGCGAACGGGAUUAGAUACCCCGGUAGUCCACACCGUAAACGCUGUCUACUAACUGUUUGUGGAUUUAAUCCGUGAGUAGUGAAGCUAACGCGAUAAGUAGACCGCCUGGGGAGUACGGCCGCAAGGUUAAAACUCAAAUGAAUUGACGGGGGCCCGCACAAGC
rnacentral:rRNA from 12 species